CAGACCCACACGCACAAACCCCACUAAAGCUUAGGCUGCAUGGCCAUGACAGUCCACUGGCCCAUUUAUCAGCUAUUUAUGAGCCUCAUUGAAUGUUUUUUUUAUCAACACGCAUGCCUACGUCACAACGGACAGCAGACUAUGAACAGCAUUACUAUCCCACUUUAUUUUGUAAGCUGAAUAAUGGGGCUGGGGAAAUUGAACCACUCUCAAAUACUGUAGAUCUAUUCAUAGAUGGGGCUAUGGAUGCAGGACUGAAAAUCAAUGAGAUCGACAUACAGUGGAGAGAACAAGUAUUUGAUACACUGCCGAUUUUGCAGGUUUUCCUACUUACGAAGCAUGUAGAGGUCUGUAAUUUUUAUCAUAGGUACACUUCAACUGUGAGAGACGGAAUCUAAAACAAAAAUACAGAAAAUCACAUUGUAUGAUUUUUAAGUAAUUAAUUAGCAUUUUAUUGCAUGACAUAAUUAUUUGAUACAUCAGAAAAGCCGAACUUAAUAUUUGGUACAGAAACCUUUGCUUGCAAUUGCAGAGAUCAUAUGUUUCCUGUAGUUCUUGACCAGGUUUGCACACACUGCAGCAGGGAUUUUGGCCCACUCCUCCAUACAGACCUUCUCCAGAUCCUUCAGGUUUCGGGGCUGUCGCUGGGCAAUACGGACUUUCAGCUCCUUCCAAAGAUCUUCUAUUGGGUUCAGGUCUGGAGACUGGCUAGGCCGCUCCAGGACCUUGAGAUGCUUCUUACGGAGCCACUCCUUAGUUGCCCUGGCUGUGUGUUUUCGGGUCGUUGUCAUGCUGGAAGACCCAGUCACGACCCAUCUUCAAUGCUCUUACUGAAGGAAGGAGGUUGUUGGCCAAGAUCUCGCGAUCCAUGGCCCCAUCCGUCCUCCCCUCAAUACGGUGCAGUCGUCCUGUCCCCUUUGCAGAAAAGCAUCCCCAAAGAAUUAUGUUUCCACCUCCAUGCUUCAUGGUUGGAAUGGUGUUCUUGGGGUUGUACUCAUCCUUCUUCUUCCUCCAAGCACGGCGAGUGGAGUUUAGACCAAAAAGCUCUAUUUUUGUCUCCUCAGACCACAUGACCUUCUCCCAUUCCACCUCUGGAUCAUCCAGAUGGUCAUUGGCAAACUUCAGACGGGCCUGGACAUGCGCUGGCUUGAGCAGGGGGACCUUGCGUGUGCUGCAGGAUUUUAAUCCAUGACUGCGUAGUGUGUUACUAAUGGUUUUCUUUGAGACUGUGGUCCCAGCUCUGUUCAGGUCAUUGAGCAGGUCCUGCCGUGUAGUUCUGGGCUGAUCCCUCACCUUCCUCAUGAUCAUUGAUGCCCCACGAGGUGAGAUCUUGCAUGGAGCCCCAGACCGAGGGUGAUUGACCAUCAUCUUGAACUUCUUCCAUUUUCUAAUAAUUGCCCCAACAGUUGAUGCCUUCUCACCAAGCUGCUUGCCUAUUGUCCUGUAGCCCAUCCCAGCCUUGUGCAUGUCUACAAUUUUAUCCCUGAUGUCCUUACACAGCUCUCUGGUCUUGGCCAUUGUGGAGAGGUUGGAGUCUGUUUGAUUGAGUGUGUGGACAGGUGUCUUUUUAUAGAGGUAACGAGUUCAAACAGGUGCAGUUAAUACAGGUAAUGAGUGGAGAACAGGUGGGCUUCUUAAAGAAAAACUAACAGGUCUGUGAGAGCCGGAAUUCUUACUGGUUGGUAGGUGAUCAAAUACUUAUGUCAUGCAAUAAAAUGCAAAUGCAUUACUUAAAAAUCAUACAAUGUGAUUUUCUGGAUCUUUAGACUCAGUCUCUCACAGUUGAAGUGUACCUAUGAUACAAAGCAUGUAGAGAUCUAAAAAUGUUUAAGUAGGAAAACUCAAAAUCGGCAGUGUAUCAAAUACUUGUUCUCCCCACUGUACAUCAUAUUUUCGAGCCUUACAUUUGUUUACAAAUUACAACAAAAACAUACACAAUGGAGUAACACAGCCUUAGAUACGGGAUUAAGCUCAUAAGGCAUGUAUAACUUAUAUUCAAUAACAAAUGCAAUUAAUUAUCAUUAGGCAGGUUUCCACUCACUCAUGUUUAUUCAACAAACGCAAUGUCGCAAAAAAAACACAUUGCGACGUGUAAUGGAAACGGCAGCUAUAUACUGUUAUAAUGGAAUGCACACUUACGUUCUAAAUAAUUGUGGGACCCCUGAUGACUUCCUCUCCGGAAACUUGUUGUUCUUCUUAUUACUAGCCUGCCUCUCUUCCAACUGUUCGUUUUUACUCUGGUUCUAAAUAAACAAACGGACAACUAGGUUUAUUGUAAUAUUCAUUGGGUGAAUAAAAGUUUAUUCACCCAAUGGGUCAAACGGCUGAAGAGACAAAAACAUAUUCACACAAGCACUGGUAUUUAAACCUUCCUCCUAUGUGGAGUCUCCUUCUUACACAUCUGAACAGCCAAUAUAUCUGUUGCUAGACAGGACUUUAGUGAUGUCUGUUCUUUCUCACUUCUGACCUGUUGACUGUGGCCCUUCUCCUUUCCAUAGGAUACCCGAUGUCUAACAAUAACAUGUUCUGACAGAAUGUAAAUGUUCUGCAUUCUCCCCUCUUGCUUAAUGACUUGAUUUAAGGAUAUUUCAAGUUUAUAACUCAGUAUCCAUCACAACCAAACAAGUAAAAUGAUCAGACCAACUUUGGUAGUUGCUGUUCUGUUAGUUGUGUUGUGAUGUCAGGCAAAAAUGCCUUAUCAAAGAUUCAAAUGUUCAGAUUUCCAAAAAACGAGGAUCGUAAUGAGCUUGGGUCACUGCAGUCUGAGUGGAGGCUUGGGAGUCAAAAAAUCAUAGCAGGUCUGCAGCACUCACUUCAUUUCAGGUGAGCCAUCACCACACCACUGAUGGUGCUCAAAAUAAAUGUACAAGAAGAAGCAAAAAAGAUUGCAAUCAGAACGUGUUUUGAACAAUGAAGAUGCCACCAGAUUCUACGCCAGUCUUCCCUCUGUCAGUUUUUUUUUUACCCUUGUGACAUACCUUACAACAGCAUGGGCUCAUGCGCCCAUGCUGAGAGAGAGGGAGGGAGAAUGUAAAUAUUAAUCAGUCAGGACUUCAAUUACUGUACAGAAUGUUUUUAGAAGUUAGAUACAUUUUUAAUAAAUUGUUUGAAUAUUUGACUGAAUUAUUAAGUGCAUUGAGAUAUGAUUUUAUGAGUACUGCUCAUAAGUAUAUGUUGGAUAAAAAACAUACAGAUCAUUGAAAUAUAACAGAACACACAUUCCUCUCUGACAUCUACAGUUAGGAAUUGCCUUGCUUCUAUUCAUUGCACUUCUAUUUAAUGCCUGUGAGCAAUGUCCAGGUGUCCGUUGAAUACCUGCAGCCUUCACUUCAUAAAGUCAUGUACCAACUUUGGCAGCAUAUGUUGAAAGUAAACUCCGCAAAUAAAGAAACAUUCUCUCACUGUCAA